GAUGAACGCUGGCGGCGUGCCUAAUACAUGCAAGUCGAGCGAACGGACGAGAAGCUUGCUUCUCUGAUGUUAGCGGCGGACGGGUGAGUAACACGUGGAUAACCUACCUAUAAGACUGGGAUAACUUCGGGAAACCGGGGCUAAUACCGGAUGAUAUUUUGAACCGCAUGGUUCAAAAGUGAAAGACGGUCUUGCUGUCACUUAUAGAUGGAUCCGAGAUGCAUUAGCUAGUUGGUAAGGUAACGGCUUACCAAGGCAACGAUGCAUAACCGACCUGAGAGCGUGAUCGGCCACACUGCAACUGAGACACGGUACACACUCCUAAGGUAGGAAGCAGUAGGGAAUCUUCCGCAAUGGGCGAAUGCCUGACGGAGCAACGCGGCGUGAGUGAUGAAGGUCUUCGGAUCGUAAAACGCUGUUAUUAGGGAAGAACAAAUGUGUAAGUAACUGUGCACAUAUUGACGGUACCUAGUCAGAAAGCCACGGCUAACUACGUG
rnacentral:rRNA from 1 species